rnacentral:ncRNA from 1 species
UUGAAACCAAUGAUUAAGAAGAGUAGGUUUUGUGCUGGUCACUUACAGAGAGUUGCGGGUGGUGAAAUCGCAACAGGGAAGCCUUAGCUGAAUGGACUUAAGAGGGCAAGACGAAAAGCGGCUACAAGCAACAGCUGCCUAGUAGUACCUGACGGGAACUUCACCCGUUACCAAGGAAGUGCAUAUCAUAAUGUAUGCAGAAAAAGUGGGUGCUUUUUUGCAUCAAUUUGAGUGGUACCGCAGAUGUAUAGACUUUUGCCUCAAUG